GUUUAUCUUGUUGGAAUUAUGCAAUUUCCCUUUUGUCUUGAACCUAUCUACUCUUGUUAUCAUUUGACAAAGAUGGUUAAUGUUGUAACUAGUUCAAACUUUCUAAUUGUCUAAGAAUGAUGGUAGUUGAAUAAAAGAAGUGAGUUCAUAAUUCCAGGUUCGAUUUUUUUGUUCAUUCACCUGUAGAGAUAACCUCUAUUUGGUUAUGGAAUAUCUCAAUGGUGGUGAUCUAUACCCUUUACUCAGAAAAGUUGGAUGCCUUGAAGAAGUAGCUCGUACAUAUAUUGCGGAGCUGGUUUGUACCAACUCAUUCUGUAUUAUGGAAACCAAUCUAAUUAUUGUCUAAACUUUCUUAAGCUUACAGACUUCGGACUAUAAAAAAUUGGCCUCAUAAACAACACAAUUGACUUAUCUUGUCCUGAGACAAAUCGAACUACUUCAAUAGAUGCAUGUAAUCUACAUAAGCAACAAAUGGAUUAUAGAAGUCGACACUCAGCUGUUGGGACACCUGACUACCUGGCCCCUGAAAUUCUUCUUGGCACUGAGCAUGGUUAUGCUGCGGACUGGUGGUCAGUGGGGAUAAUCUUGUUUGAGUUGAUUACAGGAAUUCCACCUUUCACCGCUGGACACCCUGUGAUAAUUUUUGACAACAUUCUGAACAGGAAAAUUCCAUGGCCGUCUGUCCCUAGU